rnacentral:rRNA from 1 species
UACGUAGGGGGCAAGCGUUGUCCGGAAUCAUUGGGCGUAAAGAGCGCGUAGGCGGCCCGAUAAGUCCGCUGUGAAAGUCAAGGGCUUAACCCUUGAAUGCCGGUGGAAACUGUCGGGCUAGAGUCCGGAAGAGGCGAGUGGAAUUCCUGGUGUAGCGGUGAAAUGCGCAGAUAUCAGGAGGAACACCAAUUGCGAAGGCAGCUCGCUGGGACGUUACUGACGCUGAGACGCGAAAGCGUGGGGGAGCAAACAGG